CUUGAGGGAAGUAGGGCCCUGUCCUUGACCACUUACCAGGGCCUGUCCCUCAUUCACCCGACCCAACUUUGCUGGGGGGUGUGAGGUGGGGUAAUUUAUUCAGUUCUAACCAGGAAAGGUAAAAUUAUAACAGGAUUAAUAACACAAGUGUCAUGGCCUUCCAAGGGCCCCAAGACGAUCCCAUCCCCCUUCCCUGCUCAGAACCUGCCUGUCCUGCACCCUGGCCUGUCCUCUGGAGGUUAUCUGAUGAGGGCCUAUUCUGAGGCAGGGGGCCCAGGCCCCAGCUUCAGCAUCAAGCCACCCAGGACAUGCAUCUGGCCUUUUGGAAAAUAGCCUGGAGAAUGCAGAGGAGAGGCUGCAGUCAGGCUGGCUGUGGCUGGAAAGAACCUGCUGUGGAUGAAGUUGACCUGGGACCCACGUGACCUGAGUGAAAAGAGCUAUGGGUUUGCAGGGGACACCGGUGCCCUGCUGCAGGUGGUUCUAGAGCUAGGUAUCCUGCAUCGUGACUUGAGCAAGUCAUGAACCCACUCUGAGCCUCAGUUUCCCACUCUGUUUUUGGUGUUUGGUUUGGUUUGGUUUUGAGACAGGGUCUCACCCUGUUGCCCAGGCUGGAGUCCAGUGGCACAAUCUCGGCUCACUGCAGCCUCUACCUCCUGAGCUCAAGCGAUCCUCCCACCUCAGUCUCCCAAGUAGCUGAGACUACAGGUGUGUGCCACCACACCCCACUAAUUUUUUGUACAGAUCUAGUUUCACCAUGUUGCCCAGGCUGGUCUGAACUCCUGGGCUCAAGCAAUUCUCCUCCCUCGGCCUCCCAAAGCACUGGGAUUACAGGCGUGAGCCACUGCACCGGGCCUCCACCUCUACUUUGGGGACAAUGUUAUCACUUGCCUUAUGGAAUCGUUGUAAGGAGGAAAUGUGUAGACUUGGUGAUUUUUGUUUCUCCUCGGAGUCUUCCCCUGGAUCCCAACUCACCCCUCCAGCUCCCACUUCACCAUGAGCCCAUGGAGACAUGAGCCCCAGAAGAGCUCUUUCUCUGGUCUCUAUUGCAGCAAGAAGUACCUGUGGGCACACUGGAGCAUAGGCCUUGAUGUUUGCAGUGCUCCAGGCAAAAGGACAAGUGGAGGCUCACAUACCAGAAUCUAAAUAUUAAACAACCAUAAAUCAAGCUGCUAAUGAAAUGUGUUCUAUCCUCCUACUGAACAAAUAAGCUUUCAUAGGAGUAAAAACAUCUGUAAAUCUACAGUUUUUAUAUAUCUGAAAGUCAGCAGAUAUCCAAAAUGAUGAAACUUAGUAAUUAUCACUCAUGUCCAGGUGUUCAGUGACCUGAGGUUUAAGUGAGAGAAUGAAGACUUGCCUGAUGCCUAAGAUAUUCUGUAUUUAUUCUGUAACAUUGAUUCUCCUCGUCUUUAGUCUAGUAAAAUGAUUGAUUAUGUUGUUACAGUCAAGACUUCUACACUAUUACUGUUCUUUUCAUAGUAAUGAUUAAAAAGAUUAAAAUAAGGCUGGGCAUGGUGGCUCACACAUGUAAUCCCAGAGCUUUGAGAAACCAAAGUGACAGGAUUGCUUGAGGCAGGAGUUCAAGUUUACAGUAAGCUAUGACUAUACUACUGUACUCCAGACUGGGCAACAGAGCAAGACCCUGUCUAUAAAAAAAAUAAUAAUUUUUAAAAAGACUAAAAUAAAAUAUUGGCCAGGUGUGGUGGCUCACACCUGU
rnacentral:lncRNA from 1 species